GGGGAUGAAAGGAUUUCGACGGGGAUUCAGAGUCAUGAUAAGCGAGUAGCGGUGUGGACCCGCUAUAAAAGCCACAGUUUAUUAAAAAUAAACGACAACAAUACAGUUCUUAAAGCUGCUUAACUUUUAGCAGCCGUCGUUACCGGGAGCACCGCGGCCCGGAUAACGGCGUCGAUCAGCGGUGAACGUGCGUGCCAGAUUAGCCUUGUAUGACACCAUGAAUUAAAGGCUACCGUAAGGUGAAGCCUGCCGUUCGGCGGCACCUGAGGGGAAUCCUAAAAGAUCGGAUACACUCGUAGAAAGUUGUGGUAAUGGGUUUUCGGACGCGGUUUCGAGUACCGCCAUCUCCACCA
rnacentral:tmRNA from 1 species